UAACAAUGAUUCCCCUAGUAACGGCGAGUGAAGAGGGAAAAGCUCAAAGUUGGAACCUGGUAGGCAUAGCUUACCCGGAUUGUAAACUAAAGUUUUCGAGUCGUUUAGUCAGCCAGGUAAAUAAGUCCUCUGGAAAGGGGCGACAUAGAGGGUGAAAUCCCCGUCUUUGGCCUGAGUUUUGAUUAGGCGUUUGGCUUGGAAACGAAGAGUCAGGUUGUUUGGGAAUGCAGCCUAAAAUGGGAGGUAAAUCUCUCCUAAAGCUAAAUAUUGACGAAAGACCGAUAGCGAACAAGUACCGUGAGGGAAAGAUGAAAAGCACUUUGAAAAGAGGGUCAAAAAGUACGUGAAAUUGCUGAAAGGGAACCGUAUGAAAUCAGAUCUACUGGUAGGUAAUCAAUCUUUCCUUUGGGAAGGAUGCACUUGCCUACUAUGUAUGCCAGCGACAUUUUGGUUGGGAGGAAAAAAAUAAAGGAAAUGUAGCUUAGGUUUCGGCUUAGGUGUUAUAGUCCUUUAUAAAAUACUCUCGGCUGGAAUGAGGAACGCAGCAAACCGUAAGGCGAAGAUUUCAGGCGCUUAGAGGGAAUAAUUAGAGAAUUUCUGCUUCGGGUGGUGCUUUGAUUAUUACCUUUAACACGCUUGGAUUCUUUUAAUUUGCUUAGGUUGUUGGCUUAAUGA
rnacentral:rRNA from 1 species